ACGGAAGGCAGCAGUGGGGAAUAUUGCACAAUGGGGGAAACCCUGAUGCAGCGACGCCGCGUGAAGGAUGAAGUAUUUCGGUAUGUAAACUUCUAUCAGCAGGGAAGAUGAUGACGGUACCUGACUAAGAAGCCCCGGCUAACUACGUGCCAGCAGCCGCGGUAAUACGUAGGGGGCAAGCGUUAUCCGGAUUUACUGGGUGUAAAGGGAGCGUAGGCGGCUGAGUAAGUCAGAAGUGAAAGCCCGGGGCUCAACCCCGGGACGGCUUUUGAAACUGCCCGGCUUGAUUUCAGGAGAGGAAAGCGGAAUUCCUAGUGUAGCGGUGAAAUGCGUAGAUAUUAGGAGGAACACCAGUGGCGAAGGCGGCUUACUGGACUGUAACUGACGUUGAGGCUCGAAAGCGUGGGGAGCAAACAGGAUUAGAUACCCUGGUA
rnacentral:rRNA from 1 species